rnacentral:rRNA from 1 species
UACGUAGGUGGCAAGCGUUAUCCGGAAUUAUUGGGCGUAAAGAGCGCGCAGGUGGUUAAUUAAGUCUGAAGUGAAAGCCCGCGGCUUAACCGCGGAACUGCUUUGGAAACUUUUUUGCUGGAGUACCGGAGAGGUAAGCGGAAUUCCUAGUGUAGCGGUGAAAUGCGUAGAUAUUAGGAGGAACACCAGUGGCGAAGGCGGCUUACUGGACGGUAACUGACGUUGAGGCUCGAAAGCGUGGGGAGCAAACAGG